UUCUGAAUGGCACUUCAUCUGGAUACCGUCAGCUUGAUCUAUACGGGAUCCUUAAGUUCUUCUAACAUCGUUCGCUGAAAAUGUUUUUCAUUUAAAGCAAGUGUGAGCAUUCAAUUACCCAGCAAGUCAUAACAGUUGAACAAACAACUUCAAGAAUUUAAACAUUCUUUUCAGACUUCAAUAACCGAACAAGGUUACGAAGCA
rnacentral:lncRNA from 1 species